GGCCCCAUAGUGUAAUGGUUAGCACAUCUGCUUUGCAUGCAGAAGGUUCUGGGUUCACACCCCAGGUGGAGCUA
rfam:Pteropus alecto contig88834, whole genome shotgun sequence.